rnacentral:rRNA from 1 species
CCUACGGGUGGCAGCAGUGAGGAAUAUUGGGCAAUGGGGGCAACCCUGACCCAGCCAUGCCGCGUGAGUGAAGAAGGUCUUCGGAUUGUAAAGCUCUUUCGGACGUGACGAUGAUGACGGUAGCGUCUAAAGAAGCACCGGCAAACUUCGUGCCAGCAGCCGCGGUAAUACGAAGGGUGCGAGCGUUGUUCGGAAUUACUGGGCGUAAAGGGAGUGUAGGCGGAUAUGUAAGAUAGCGGUGAAAUGCCGGGGCUCAACCCCGGAACUGCCAUUAUGACUAUGUAUCUAGAGUAAUGGAGAGGAUAGCGGAAUACCCAGUGUAGAGGUGAAAUUCGUAGAUAUUGGGUAGAACACCGGUGGCGAAGGCGGCUAUCUGGCCAUUUACUGACGCUGAGGCUCGAAAGCAUGGGGAUCAAACAGGAUUAGAUACCCUAGUAGUC